GAUGAACGCUGGCGGCGUGCCUAAUACAUGCAAGUCGAGCGAACGGACGAGAAGCUUGCUUUUCUGAUGUUAGCGGCGGACGGGUGAGUAACACGUGGAUAACCUACCUAUAAGACUGGGAUAACUUCGGGAAACCGGAGCUAAUACCGGAUAAUAUUUUGAACCGCAUGGUUCAAAAGUGAAAGACGGUCUUGCUGUCACUUAUAGAUGGAUCCGCGCUGCAUUAGCUAGUUGGUAAGGUAACGGCUUACCAAGGCAACGAUGCAUAGCCGACCUGAGAGGCUGUUCGGCCACACUGGAACUGAGACACGGUCCAGACUCCUACGGGAGGCAGCAGUAGGGAAUCUUCCGCAAUGGGCGAAAGCCUGACGGAGCAACGCCGAGUGAGUGAUGAAGGUCUUCGGAUCGUAAAACUCUGUUAUUAGGGAAGAACAUAUGUGUAAGUAACUGUGCACAUCUUGACGUUACCUAAUCAGAAAGCCACGGCUAACUACGUG
rnacentral:rRNA from 1 species